UUGUUUAAGUAUGUGACUGAUAUCCAAUGGAGAAAACUGUAAAUCGACCCGACUUUCGAGCCGCGCCUGCACCAACAUUUUAUCUACCAGUUGCCGGAUGCGUGCACUUUGCUGCUCAAUAUUAACAAUAAACCGCUGUGCCGUGGCUGGCGGGGGCGACUCACGUAACAGUUCAGCCGCACCGGUAAUGGCCGCCAAUGGGCUUUUCAGCUCAUGAGUCAUGGUGUGAACAUAUUGUUCAAUGUAGGCUUUGCCAUCCAAUUUAAGACGCAUACUCUCCAGUGCGCGGGCCAAAUCAUGCAACUCGCUACUGCCCAUCGCUGGCAGCGCCACAACCUGCCCCUCGGCAACCCGCUCAGCGUAAUCUACCAAUUUGCCGAUAGAGCGGUUUAUCCACCAUACGAAGCCCAAGCCAAUCAACAGGGCAAUACCGAGCAAGACCCCACCAGCCAACAAGAUCUUACGCUCACUGCGUUUGAUAACGGGUGCCAUGGAAAUAUUGGGUUUACCCACACUGAGCACCCCGAUGAUUUUGUUUUCAGCCAUGACCGGUGCUGCUACAUACAUGACCGAACUUUGUUCAUCUGCGGGGUUGGUACGGGUGCUGCGAGCACCAUAUUCACCGCGUAGCGUCAGCCAGACAUCAUUCCAGCGCGAAUAAUCUUGCCCUACCGCUUUACCGGAUGAAUCAAAAACCACCCGUCCGUCGGCAUCCGUCAAAUAAACGCGAUAUUCGUUACGAUCCUUGCGAAUACCUUCAAUAUUGGCACCUAUUGGCCGCAAAUUUAGCGAAGCAAACGCUUGUGCCAAUUGACCACUGGCAACGUUAUCCAGCAGCAUAUCUUGCCGGGCAAACUGAGCCAGUAGUGUGGCGGUAUCCACUAAUGUGCCCUCGGUGGCACGCCGGACGCCAGGUUUCACUUCUUGUACGAAAAUACGAAUGACAAAAUAACCGGCAAUGGCCACGAUCAGAAAGUAACCUAGCAGUAAGCGCACGCCGAUUUUCAUCGCUGAUCCUUCA
rnacentral:rRNA from 1 species